CCUACGGGAGGCAGCAGUGAGGAAUAUUGGUCAAUGGUCGGGAGACUGAACCAGCCAAGCCGCGUGAGGGAGGAAGGUACAGAGUAUCGUAAACCUCUUUUGUCAGGGAACAAAGGCGGGGACGUGUCCCCGGAUGAGUGUACCUGAAGAAAAAGCAUCGGCUAACUCCGUGCCAGCAGCUGCGGUAAUACGGAGGAUGCGAGCGUUAUCCGGAUUUAUGGGGUUUAAAGGGUGCGCAGGCGGUCUGUUAAGUCAGCGGUCAAAGCCCGGGGCUCAACCCCGGCCCGCCGUUGAAACUGGCAGUCUCGAGUUGGAGAGAAGUAUGCGGAAUGCGCGGUGUAGCGGUGAAAUGCAUAGAUAUCGCGCAGAACUCCGAGUGCGAAGGCAGCAUGCCGGCUCCACACUGACGCUGAGGCACGAAAGCGUGGGUAUCGAACAGGAUUAGAUACCCCGGUAGUC
rnacentral:rRNA from 1 species